AAGAGGGGGGAGUAACAUCCGGAAACGGGUGCUAAUACCGCAUAGUUUCUUGAUCGCAUGAUCGGGAAAGGAAAGAACGGCCUUGUGCUGUCGCUUAUGGAUGGACCCGCGGCGUAUUAGUUAGUUGGUGAGGUAACGGCUCACCAAGACGAUGAUACGUAGCCGACCUGAGAGGGUGAUCGGCCACAUUGGGACUGAGACACGGCCCAAACUCCUACGGGAGGCAGCAGUAGGGAAUCUUCCGCAAUGGACGAAAGUCUGACGGAGCAACGCCGCGUGAGUGAAGGAAAAGGGUUUUCGGUAUCGUAAAACUACUGUUGUCAGAGAAGAACAAGUUGGAGACGUAACUCCGCUCCAGCCUUGACGGUAUCUGACCAGAAAGCCACGGCUAACUACGUGCCAGCAGCCGC
rnacentral:rRNA from 1 species